rnacentral:rRNA from 1 species
AAAGCGUGCGCAGGCGGUUAUGUAAGACAGAUGUGAAAUCCCCGGGCUCAACCUGGGAACUGCAUUUGUGACUGCAUAGCUAGAGUACGGUAGAGGGGGAUGGAAUUCCGCGUGUAGCAGUGAAAUGCGUAGAUAUGCGGAGGAACACCGAUGGCGAAGGCAAUCCCCUGGACCUGUACUGACGCUCAUGCACGAAAGCGUGGGGAGCAAACAGGAUUAGAUACCCCAGU